rnacentral:rRNA from 1 species
CGGNGUUAAGGAGCUUGCUUCUUAACUUAGUGGCAACGGGUGAGUAACGCGUGAGGAACCUGCCUUUCAGUGGGGGACAACAGUUGGAAACGACUGCUAAUACCGCAUGAUACUAUUGAGUGGCAUCACUUGAUAGUCAAAGAUUUAUUGCUGAAAGAUGGCCUCGCGUCUGAUUAGCUAGUUGGUGGGGUAACGGCCCACCAAGGCGACGAUCAGUAGCCGGACUGAGAGGUUGACCGGCCACAUUGGGACUGAGAUACGGCCCAGACUCCUACGGGAGGCAGCAGUGGGGGAUAUUGCACAAUGGGCGAAAGCCUGAUGCAGCGACGCCGCGUGAGGGAAGACGGUUUUCGGAUUGUAAACCUCUGUCUUCGGGGACGAAAAUGACGGUACCCGAGGAGGAAGCCACGGCUAACUACGUG